GUGCACCAGGCGCGAAACCUUCGCAAUGCGGGAAACCGCGACGAGGGGACUCCCAGUGCCUACGCUCAGCGUAGGCUGUUCCCGAGCCUAGAAAGCUCGGGGAGUAAGGGCUGGGUAAGACGGGUGCCAGCCGCCGCGGUAAUACCGCAGCCGAGUGGUGGCCACUAUUAUUGGGCCUAAAGCGUCCGUAGCCGGCCCGGUAAAUGCCUGGGUAAAUCGUGAGGCCUAACCUCACGAAUUCCGGGUAGACUGCCGGGCUAGGGACCGGAGGAGGGAGAGGGUACUCCAGGGGUAGGGGUGGAAAUCCUGUAAUCCCUGGAGGACCACCGGUGGCGAAGGCGCUCUCCUAGGACGGGUCCGACGGUGAGGGACGAAAGCCAGGGGAGCGAACCGGAUUAGAUACCCGUGUAGU
rnacentral:rRNA from 1 species